rnacentral:rRNA from 1 species
UACGUAGGGGGCAAGCGUUGUCCGGAUUUAUUGGGCGUAAAGAGCGUGUAGGCGGUUCGGUAGGUCCGUUGUGAAAACUCGAGGCUCAACCUCGAGACGCCGAUGGAAACCCUCGAACUAGAGUCCGGAAGAGGAGAAUGGAAUUCCUGGUGAUAGGCGGUGGAAAUGACGCAGAUAUCAGGGAAGAACACCCCGUGGCUAAGGCGGUUCUCUAGUACGGUACUGACGCUGAGACGCGAAAGCGUGGGGAGCGAACAGG